AAGUCGUAACAAGGUCUCCGUUGGUGAACCAGCGGAGGGAUCAUUACUGAGUGUAAAAACUCCCAAACCCCUGUGAACAUACCAUCCGUUGCUUCGGCGGGAUCGCCCCGGGCGCCUUUGCGUGCCCCGGAUCCAGGCGCCCGCCGGAGGACUCCAAACUCUUGUUUUAUAUGUGGCAUUAUCUGAGUGGCUUAUAGCAAAAUAAAUCAAAACUUUCAACAAUGGAUCUCUUGGCUCUG
rnacentral:misc_RNA from 1 species